CCCUUAGAUGUUCUGGGCGGCCCGCGCACUACAAUGGCGCUUUCAGCGAGUUCCUAUGUUGAAUUUUCCUUGGUAUUCUUGGAAGCGGCGUCUUGACUUGGGAUAGAUCCUUGUAAUUGUUGGUUUUGAACGAGGAAUUCCUUGUAAUCGCGGUUGAUCAGCUCGCGUUGAAUACGUCCCUGCCCUUUGUACACACCGCCCGUCGCUCCUACCGAUGAAUCGUCCGGUGAAGUUCACAGAGUGGCGGUUCGUGGAGUUGCUCGCGAAGUGAAAUGGGCCUCACGAUUUAGAGGAAGGAGAAGUCGUAACA
rnacentral:rRNA from 1 species